rnacentral:lncRNA from 1 species
CAAAGUCAUCCAUCCUCUAGAAAGUCAAUAAUCGCCACCUCCGCCUUUGGACGCGUCUUUGUUGUCGUCUGCAAUGAAAUUCUUCCCCUGAAACUCACAGCUUCCUGGAAACUCAUCAAUCCGAAGGCGAUAUAUAUAACACACAACUCUUCCUUCAUUUCCACAAACAACUCCUUCAACUUCCAAGCUUGCAUCCCACAAAACCAAACCUUCCAAACAGAGGCAGAGAAAUUUUCUUUCUACUUUCAUAUCAGAAAACCAAAAGAAAUUAACAUGCCGGAGCAAAACUACCCCACCUAUCCUUUAGGCCAAGCAAAUGGUCACACAAGAAGAGAUGGAGAGUCUCAGAUGUCCGCUGAUGAGCUGAAACGCAAGAAGAAAAUCAAAUUGGCCAUCUAUAUUAGUAUUUUCGUUGUGUUUCAGAUCAUAGUUAUCACCACAAUGAGUCUCACUGUCAUGAAAGUUAAGACCCCAAAGUUCAGGCUAGGCGACAUCAAAGUCCAAAGCUUGGAAACAACGCCUUCAUUCGACUUGAAAUUCACAACCCAAAUCAGGAUCAAGAACUCAGCCAACUGGGGUUCCUACAAGUUCAAAGCUGGAAAUGUCACGUUUCAACACCAAGGCCAGACCGUGGGAACAAUUGAUAUCGCAAAGGGCAAGGUUGGAUGGCUUUCGACCGUAAAAAGAAAUGCGAAUGUGAGUUUGAAUUCAAGUGCAAUAACCGAAUUGGGCAGCGGGGUCUUGACGCUCAAUAGCGUUGGUAGAUUGGAAGGAAAAGUUGCAAUUAUGUUCAUAAUGAAGAAGAAGAAGGCUACCAACAUGAACUGCACCAUAGCUUUUGAUGUGACAGCCAAGACCCUCCAAUCUUUACACUGCAAGUGAAGACACACAAGCUACUUCGGGGUCAGAGUGAUCAAGACUAUAGUUCUUGGAUUUUUUUUUAAAUUCGUUGAUAUUUAGUUUUUCCCCGAGUGACUCUUGCAUUUGUUGUACAACUACAGGGCUACUCUGUUCUCUUUUAAUUACUAGACUGCUUGUUAUUCGUUUAAACUGUGCUUCUGUUUGAUUUUUGCCAAAUUUAUUACCCUCAAUACAUUGAAAAAUGAAAAAAAAUAGAACCGAAAUUUGGGAAAACAAUUUGGUUUUAAUUAUAUAAAAUCAUC